rnacentral:rRNA from 1 species
AACGACUGGCGGCGUGCCUACACAUAGCAAGUCGAACGAGACAUGACCCGACUGAGGCCUUCGGGCGGAAUAGGGUCAUGACUUAGUGGCGGACGGGUGGACGUAACGCGUGGGUAACCUGCCCUAGUACUGGGGGAUAACAGCUAGAAUGGCUGCUAAUACCGCAUGAGCGCACAGUCCCGCAUGGGACAGUGCGGAAAACUCCGGUGGUAUAGGAUGGACCCGCGUCCGAUCAGCUGGUUGGUGGGGUAACGGCCCACCAAGGCGACGAUCGGUAGCCGACCUGAGAGGGUGACCGGCCACAUUGGGACUGAGACACGGCCCAAACUCCUACGGGAGGCAGCAGUGGGGGAUAUCGCACAAUGGGGGGAACCCUGAUGCAGCGACGCCGCGUGAGUGAAGGAGUACUCCGGUAUGUAAAGCUCUAUCAGCAGGGAAGAAGCAAGACGGUACCUGACCAAGAAGCCCCGGCUAACUACGUG